rnacentral:rRNA from 1 species
CAGCCGCCGCGGUAAGACGAACCGUACGAACGUUAUUCGGAAUCACUGGGCUUAAAGGGUGCGUAGGCGGCGCGGAAAGUUGGGUGUGAAAGCCCUCGGCUCAACCGAGGAACUGCGCCCAAAACUGCCGUGCUUGAGGGAGACAGAGGUGAGCGGAACUAAGGGUGGAGCGGUGAAAUGCGUUGAUAUCCUUAGGAACACCGGUGGCGAAGGCGGCUCACUGGGUCUCUUCUGACGCUGAGGCACGAAAGCUAGGGGAGCGAACGGGAUUAGAUACCCGAGUAGUCCCUGUCUCUUAUAC